rnacentral:rRNA from 1 species
UGCAGUCGAACGAUGAAGCUGGAGCUUGCUCCGGCCGAUUAGUGGCGAACGGGUGAGUAACACGUGAGCAAUCUGCCCUUGACUCUGGGAUAACUGCGGGAAACUGUAGCUAAUACCGGAUACGACCCUCGGAGGCAUCUCCUGGGGGUGGAAAGAAUUUUGGUCAAGGAUGAGCUCGCGGCCUAUCAGCUAGUUGGUGAGGUAAUGGCUCACCAAGGCGACGACGGGUAGCCGGCCUGAGAGGGUGACCGGCCACACUGGAACUGAGACACGGUCCAGACUCCUACGGGAGGCAGCAGUGGGGAAUAUUGCACAAUGGGCGAAAGCCUGAUGCAGCAACGCCGCGUGAGGGAUGAAGGCCUUCGGGUUGUAAACCUCUUUUAGCAGGGAAGAAGCGAAAGUGACGGUACCUGCAGAAAAAGCACCGGCUAACUACGUGCCAGCAGCCGCGGUAAUACGUAGGGUGCAAGCGUUGUCCGGAAUUAUUGGGCGUAAAGAGCUCGUAGGCGGUUUGUCGCGUCUGCUGUGAAAAUCCGAGGCUCAACCUCGGACCUGCAGUGGGUACGGGCAAGCUAGAGUGCGGUAGGGGAGAUGGGAAUUCCUGGUGUAGCGGUGGAAUGCGCAGAUAUCAGGAGGAACACCGAUGGCGAAGGCACAUCUCUGGGCCGUAACUGACGCUGAGGAGCGAAAGCGUGGGGAGCGAACAGGAUUAGAUACCCUGGUAGUCCACGCCGUAAACGGUGGGUGCUAGUUGUGGGUUCCAUUCCACGGAAUCCGUGACGAAGUUAAC